UUGUCUGUAAUGAACUUCGUGUUGUUCUGUAAGUUCGUCUGUGAGUGCACGCAGCUCCAGCACACCAUAGUGUGAGUCAGAUCUGCAGCUGCAUAUUCUGGACAUUCAGGUAGAGAAGAGCUGAACUGUGAACUGAUCACCACCUGGUGGCAGGUAAGAUGUUUGGCACACCUAAACAUAUUGUGAAGGUGUGCUGGGAAUGCCUGGCAGUAUGUGUAAAGAAGUGCAGAAUAUUUUCAGGUAAAAGUUCCUGCACCUGCAGCUGAUAAACAUGUCACCAUCAUCCUGGUCCUACUCACCUUUCUCUGUGUGCUUAUGUUAACCACGCCUCUGUUUGCAGGGGCGGGAUCUCUCCAGGAUUCCCACCCUUCGUUCCAGCACACCUGGAGUUUAUAAGCACACCUGUGCUCCAUUUUCUGAUUCCACUGCCUCUGCUGGAGGAGGACCUGUAUGUUCUGGGAGAAAGUUUGUGAAUGGAUCUGUUGUGAAGGACCUCGUUUACCUGACUGUAUGUGGACCUGAACUAAACAAACAGUGGAGCAUAUUGUGCCAAACGAGGAUUGUUGCGGGCCGGAGUUUGGACACCCCUGGCUCAGAUGAAACUGGUGGAUCUCACUGCUGAUCAUUGUUUAGUGCAGGUCACACCCGUGCAGACUCCUCUCAUCCAGGCUCACAGAGGUGCUGACGGCCUGUGGGUCUGAAUAUGAUGUGGAUGAUGACAACUGGUUGCGAACCAGUUGUCAUCAUCUUGUCGUGUCAACUUAGUGUGUGAUGAAUUGAUAUGUAGACCAGCUGAUUGUUUUUAUAUCAGCGAAAGAUCACUUGAUUAUAACACAAGUGAACAAAAUGCUGCAAAUGAGUGAAGACUCCCACAGACUGAGUUUCCUGUU